rnacentral:rRNA from 1 species
UACGUAGGGUGCGAGCGUUGUCCGGAAUUACUGGGCGUAAAGAGCUCGUAGGUGGUUUGUCGCGUUGUUCGUGAAAACUCACAGCUCAACUGUGGGCGUGCGGGCGAUACGGGCAGACUGGAGUACUGCAGGGGAGACUGGAAUUCCUGGUGUAGCGGUGGAAUGCGCAGAUAUCAGGAGGAACACCGGUGGCGAAGGCGGGUCUCUGGGCAGUAACUGACGCUGAGGAGCGAAAGCGUGGGGAGCUAACAGG